UGGGGAAUUUUGCACAAUGGGGGAAACCCUGAUGCAGCGACGCCGCGUGAUUUAGAAGGCCUUCGGGUUGUAAAAAUCUUUUUUACGGGAUGAAAAUGACAGUACCGUAAGAAUAAGGUCCGGCUAAAUACGUGCCAGCAGCCGCGGUAAUACGUAUGGACCGAGCGUUGUUCGGAAUCAUUGGGCGUAAAGGGUACGUAGGCGGCCUAGUAAGUUAGAAGUUAAAGAAUAUAGCUCAACUAUAUAAAGCUUUUAAAACUGCUAGGCUUGAGAGAUGGAAGGGAAAGUGGAAUUCCUAGUGUAGCGGUGAAAUGCGCAGAUAUUAGGAAGAAUACCGGUGGCGAAAGCGACUUUCUGGUCAUCAUCUGACGCUGAGGUACGAAAGCGUGGGUAGCAAACAGG
rnacentral:rRNA from 1 species